AUUGAACGCUGGCGGCAGGCCUAACACAUGCAAGUCGAACGGUAGCAGGGCUCUUGCUCCUGACUUCUGCGGCGGGGGGGAGUGAUAUACCUGAGAGUCUGCAUGGGUGUGGGGGAACACGUCGGGAAAGUGGCGCAAAUCCCACAAGAGCCCAGGGGGAGAACGGGGGGGAUUUUGGCACUUCGCGCCUACAGAGGAGCCUAGGUCGGAUUAGCUAGGUGGUGGGAUAAAGGUCUACCAAGGCGACGAUCCGUAACUGGUCUGAGAGGAUGAUCAGCCACACUGGAACUGAGACACGGCCCAGACUCCUACGGGAGGCAGCAGUGGGGAAUAUUGGACAAUGGGCGCAAGCCUGAUCCAGCCAUGCCGCGUGUGUGAAGAAGGUCUUCGGGUUGUAAAGCACUUUUAUAUGGAAGGAAGGGCAGUAAGUUAAUACCUGGCUGUUAUGACGUUACCAACAGAAUAAGCACCGGCUAACUACGUG
rnacentral:rRNA from 1 species